UCCAGACUCCUACGGGAGGCAGCAGUGGGGGAUAUUGCACAAUGGGGGGAACCCUGAUGCAGCGACGCCGCGUGGGUGAAGGAGUAUUUCGGUAUGUAAAGCCCUAUCGGCAGGGAAGAAGCAAGACGGUACCUGACUAAGAAGCCCCGGCUAACUACGUGCCAGCAGCCGCGGUAAUACGUAGGGGGCAAGCGUUAUCCGGAUUCACUGGGCGUAAAGGGAGCGCAGGCGGCACGGAAAGUCUGGUGUGAAAGCCCGGGGCCCAACCCCGGGACUGCAUUGGAAACUGCCGGGCUGGAGUGCCGGAGGGGUAAGCGGAAUUCCUGGUGUAGCGGUGAAAUGCGCAGAUAUCAGGAAGAACACCGGUGGCGUAGGCGGCGUACUGGACGGCAACUGACGCUGAGGCUCGAAAGCGUGGGGAGCAAACAGGAUUAGAUACCCGGGUAGUA
rnacentral:rRNA from 1 species